rnacentral:rRNA from 1 species
UACGAGAGGCGCAAACGUUAUUCGGAAUUACUGGGCUUAAAGAGUUCGUAGGCGGCGCAGAAAGUAGGGUGUGAAAGCCCUCGGCUUAACCGAGGAAUUGCGCUCUAAACUACUGUGCUUGAGGGACCUAGAGGUGAGCGGAACUGAUGGUGGAGCGGUGAAAUGCGUAGAGAUCCGGAGGAACCCCAGAGGCGAAGGCGGCGCCCUGGCUCGCAACUGACGCUCAGACACGACAGCAUGGGGAGCGAACGGG